UACGGAGGGGGCUAGCGUUGUUCGGAAUUACUGGGCGUAAAGCGCACGUAGGCGGCUUUGUAAGUUAGAGGUGAAAGCCCGGGGCUCAACCCCGGAAUUGCCUUUAAGACUGCAUCGCUAGAAUUGUGGAGAGGUAAGUGGAAUUCCGAGUGUAGAGGUGAAAUUCGUAGAUAUUCGGAAGAACACCAGUGGCGAAGGCGACUCACUGGACACGUAUUGACGCUGAGGUGCGAAAGCGUGGGGAGCAAACAGG
rnacentral:rRNA from 1 species